CUUUAUUUCGAAAAAAUUACAGUGCUCUUAGCCAAUCAGAGUUGAGAAAUUUUUUUUGGUAUAUUAUUACGACCGUAAACAACACUGCCAAAUCAUAAUACACACCCCUGACGAUUGGCUUAAUUGAUCAUAUAGACUUGUAAAAGCAAUUAAGGCGGUGAAGUAACAUGUGUCAUAACAAAUAUCUUGAUGUUCAUGAAAUAUUUCAAAAGUAACUAUAUGGUGUUGCCUCCCGUUGCUCGAAUAUAUAUAUAUAUAUAUGUUCAUUAAAAUAAUGUUCAUUAAAAAUUGAAAAGCACUACAGUUCUGUUUCGAGAGGCCCUUUCUAGAUCCUCUCUCUUCAGGUGCAUCUCGAAACAGAACUGUAGUGCUUUUCAAUUUUUAAUGAACAUUCUUAUAUAUAUAUAUAUAUAUAUAUAUAUAUAUAUAUAUAUAUAUAUAUAUAUAUAUAUAUAUAUAUAUAUAUAUAUAUAUAUAUAUAUAUAUAUAUAUAUAUUAUAUACUAAACUUCCUGACCUACACCAACAACCAUCCAUGAACCUACAAAGAAUUAUUUCGUACUUGUUCACUUGGCUACCUUACAACAUUCUAACCAGCCUAUGGCAACUUACCUAUUUACUUCCCUUCCUAUUCCUAGUCUAGCAAGUAACAAUGUGGUUGCUAUAUCGGCAAACAUUUUUGUUAGUGUUCUGCUUUUGGCAUGCGUAUUUGCUCAUUAACUUGAUGUGUGAUUGUGUGAUCGUUAAAUUUGAAAUAGACCCUUCCAAAAAGUACGUCACAUUGGCUAUGGUGCCUCCUUUUCGUGGUUGAGAUGCUUGGAGUUAACUAAUCUCAAGCACACAAAAAUAUUUUUAUAGCCCAAAUUACAUACUAUCUGAAAGGGUGUAUUAGUUAACACAAUCACAUUGAAUGUUUGGGUUCUUCUGUUAUAUCAAGACCACCAGAAUUAUAAUCUUAAUUUUCUUAUUAAAUACCACCAGGGUGCCCCCCCUUCCUUGUUAAAGAUGCUCUGUAUUGUUAAUGUUUGGUAUGUAAGGUAAAGCAAUUGCGUCCAAUCCAAUUUGGGACUGAAAAAAAAAACUAAGCAAAGGUGACUAGUUACAAAUCGGCCGCUUAUGUUAGAUGUAUUAAAGCCCCAAGCCUCCUGAGCUAUUAUAAAAAGUCAAAGUUUAAUUCAAACACUUCAAGCCAAAAUUAUUGCCCUUUUGGCAAGGCGUAUUGUAUACGGAUUAUCUUGCCAUCAUGUGCACUUACAUUAAAAAAAACUGAAUUAGCUCCAAAACAGAGCAGAAUAUAACUAUGCCAUUACAAUACAGGAAAUCUGCUUAUAAAAGUGUUACAAAAAGGACAACUAUAACAAUAAUGUUACAAAGAGGACACUUGUGUUACAAAAAGGACACUUAGUCAUUCAAAGGACACUUAUGUUACUAAAAGGACACUUAUGUUACUAAAAGGACACUUAUGUUACUAAAAGGACACUUAUGUUACAAAAAGAAGAUCUACAAUGUUACAAAAAGGACGCUUAAGUUACAAAAAGGAAGAACAAAUGUUACAAAAAGGAUGCUUAUAUUACAAAAGGGAACAACCAUUGUUACCAAAAGGACUCAAUGUUACAAAAAGUAAUGUCUGAUGUUACAGAAAGGAAUGACCGGUGUUACAGAAAGGAUACUAUGUUACAAAAGGGACAUAUGUUGUUCUUUUUGUAACAUGAAAUGUUACAAAAAGGACCCUGUAAUGUUACAAUAAGGAACAUCGAUCUGAUCGUUCGUUCGUUCGUUCGUUCGUUCGUUCGUUCGUUCGUUCGUUCGUUCCUCCGUU